GGCACUCACGAAAAGAUGUGAAAUUUUGAUAUCUUAUUCGUAUUGAAAUUCUUAGGUGACUGGUGCGAUUCGAGAAUUUUUAUAGGUCUUUCUAUGUUUUUUCUUGAGUUUUAUAUUUUUCGAACGAUUACGAAUUAAAAUUUUUGAAUUUUUCUGGGCAGUAACAAAAAAAUAUGAAAUAUUGAUAUUUUAUUCGUAUCGAUAUUCUUAGGUGACGGGUG
rnacentral:lncRNA from 1 species